UACGGGGGGGGCAAGCGUUGUUCGGAAUUACUGGGCGUAAAGGGCUCGUAGGCGGCCAACUAAGUCGGACGUGAAAUCCCCAGGCUCAACCUGGGAACUGCGUCCGAUACUGGAUGGCUUGAAUUCGGGAGAGGGAUGCAGAAUUCCAGGUGUAGCGGUGAAAUGCGUAGAUAUCUGGAGGAAUACCGGUGGCGAAGGCGGCAUCCUGGACCGACAUUGACGCUGAGGAGCGAAAGCUAGGGGAGCAAACGGGAUUAGAAACCCCCGUAGUCC
rnacentral:rRNA from 1 species